GUGCUCUUUUCUGCAGCACAUAUACUAAAAUUAGAAUGACACAGAGGAUUAGCAUGACCCCUACAUGAUGAUAACACACUUAUUCAUAAAGUGUUUCACAUUUGU
ensembl:snRNA U6 U6 spliceosomal RNA